UACGGAGGGUGCAAGCGUUGUCCGGAUUUAUUGGGUUUAAAGGGUGCGUAGGCGGCCUUGUAAGUCAGUGGUGAAAGCCUCCAGCUCAACUGGAGAACUGCCAUUGAUACUGCAAGGCUUGAGUACAGACGAGGUUGGCGGAAUUGAUUGUGUAGCGGUGAAAUGCAUAGAUACAAUCAAGAACUCCGAUUGCGUAGGCAGCUAACUAGGCUGUAACUGACGCUGAGGCACGAAAGCGUGGGGAGCGAA
rnacentral:rRNA from 1 species